GACGAACGCUGGCGGCGUGCUUAACACAUGCAAGUCGAACGGUGAAGGGAUCAGCUUGCUGGUUCUGGAUGAGUGGCGAACGGGUGAGUAACACGUGAGUAACCUGCCCCCUUCUUCUGGAUAACCGCAUGAAAGUGUGGCUAAUACGGGAUAUUCUGGGUCUGUCGCAUGAUGGGUCUGGGAAAGAUAUUGUUUCGGUGGGGGAUGGGCUCGCGGCCUAUCAGCUUGUUGGUGGGGUGAUGGCCUACCAAGGCGGUGACGGGUAGCCGGCCUGAGAGGGUGGACGGUCACACUGGGACUGAGACACGGCCCAGACUCCUACGGGAGGCAGCAGUGGGGAAUAUUGCACAAUGGGCGCAAGCCUGAUGCAGCGACGCCGCGUGAGGGAUGGAGGCCUUCGGGUUGUAAACCUCCUUCGCCAGUGAAGCAGGCCUGCUCCUUGUGGGUGGGUUGACGGUAGCUGGAGAAGAAGCGCCGGCUAACUACGUG
rnacentral:rRNA from 1 species